CCCUUAGAUGUUCUGGGCCGCACGCGCGCUACACUGAUGCAUUCAACGAGCAUAUCCUUGACCGACAGGUCCGGGUAAUCUUUGAAUCUGCAUCGUGACGGGGAUAGAUUAUUGCAAUUAUUAAUCUUCAACGAGGAAUGCCUAGUAGGCGCAAGUCAUCAGCUUGCGUCGAUUACGUCCCUGCCCUUUGUACACACCGCCCGUCGCUCCUACCGAUUGGGUGUGCUGGUGAAAUGUUCGGAUCGGCCGUUUGUCGCGGUUUCCGCGGCUCGUGGCUGAGAAGUUCAUUAAACCCUCCCACCUAGAGGAAGGAGAAGUCGUAACA
rnacentral:rRNA from 1 species